rnacentral:lncRNA from 1 species
UGAAAUCUGAGACUUAGAAAUCUGAAAUUCCAUAGCACUAAAGGGCUAGAUUUUCAUUGUUCUAUUGAGUCUUAAAGAAGGGUUUUUCGGAAUUUCUCUCUUGAAUGAAAACACUUUUGGUGCUGAUGCUAGACAUGGCCGAGAAUCAAGUUUAUUUGGGUUUUCUUUCGUGAUUCACUCGCUUGAUUGGACUUGGUUUUUCUGGGGUUUUUUUGUGUCUCUCUUUCGGCUCAAACUGAUCUUAAAAGUGCUGUUGAGAUCCCAUAAGCUCUCCAUCUUUGGUUUAAUUUUGGUUGGAAAGGCUUUGAAGUCUAUUUGAAUUGGCUGCUUCAGUUACUUAAAUUCAAUUGUGAAGGAAUUUGGUUUUUGAAACUUGUUGCAUUGGUUUUAAACUACUCCUAUGGCUGUUUCUCUGUGGCAUUGCUGGGCAUUUACUGUGUCUAUUGCAGCUGAUCUAUCUUCUUCAUUGUAUUUCCAUUUCAGGUACACAUUCUCAACCUGUGUUGAUGUAACUUAGCUACUGAACAUGAAAUACAAUUGAAGUUUUGUGCGAUGUACUGGAAAUGCAAUUCAAAAUUUGAUUAAGUUUAGAUGUCUCCACAUCUAUUUGAUUGAAUAUUCCCAGUUGUAUUAAUUGAACUAUAUAUUUGAGACAUCCAUCUGGGUUGUAUAACUGUAUAGUUGAUGAUUAGGAUAUAGACAUAGUAGGUUGUAAAGUCAUCAAAAUUGUGUUGGACUCUUGAGAUUUGUUUUAAGCUGAACGAACACUGUUUUAGGUUGAAUUGAUCCAUCAUGAUGGUUGACUUUUAAAUGUUGUUAGUAUAAUAUAGUAUGGGUUACAAAAUAUGACUAUGACCUUGAAACGGUAGUAUAUUUUUUUAAAACAAGUUAUUUGGUGCAAAUGUUAAUUUCAACCGGUAUUUUUUAAUGACUAGCUUCUAAGUUUUAGUACAUUAUGAAAUAGCAUGAGUCAGUGUUAUAACAACUGGCUUGACUUGUCACCUUUAAUAGUAUUUGAAUUAAAUCAGUAGAGAGGUAAUUAAAAUAAUUGAUUGCAUUGCAUUCAUAAUGGUGUAAUAACGUGCUAGUUUAUAGAGGCGUUUAGUUUAGACGCAAUCGUGACUAAGUCGUGUGUUUGGCAGCUUAGGGAAUCGAUCCCUUGACCUCUCCAAGGCCUGCCCAUCUGAGGUGUGUUGGAUCUUGCAGAUUUGGCCCUUUUGGGUCUGAGAUUAAAUAAAAGAGGGGUUAGCAAUACCUCCAAAUGAUAGGCAAUGGACUUCCUCAAAUUGAUGACAGAGUUAUGUUCGUUUUUUGUUCCUUUAACUUAGAGACACAUAAAAUAGAAAAUACAGCCUUCCUCAAAUUCAUGACGGAGUUAUGUUCGUUUUUUGUUCCUUAAACUUAGAGACACAUAAAAUAGAAAAUACAGUCGAUUUUAGGCUUACCCUUUAAAAUAAAAUGAGACGAGCCUCACCAAAUAAAUAUAUAAAUGUGGGGCCCACAUUCAAUGGUUGCUAAAAUAUUUAGAAUUUUGGAGGACCGUUUAGUGAAAUUUACGGCCUUCCCCAAAUAAUAUAGACUCUUUAGACGCGAUUUAAUUAAAAUUACCUUCCUAAACUCGGGUGCGCAGUGAUGUGACCUAAAUUCAAAUCUCUAUUAAGUCAAAAUGUGUUGACAAUCACGGGGCAUUUAUUGCUAUGGGGUUCGAAAUUCAUUUUCACGAUAUCAUAAUUCUUCUAAAUAAAUAAUGAUCGAAAAGGUUUCUAAAAAAGAGACCAGCCUCACCAAACAAUAAUAAAUGUGGGGCCCUUAAUAAUUGGUUGAUAAAAGUGAUCAUAAUUCGAUAGGGCCGUUUAGCAAACUUCAUGGUCUUCCCCAAAAAUAUUACGUUAGAAUAUUUAGGCGUGAUUUAAUUAAAUUACUCCCUUAAACUCGGGUGCGCAUUGAUGUGAACCAAAUCCAAAUCUCGACGAAGUUGAAAUGUCUUGACGACCAUGGGUGCAUUGAUUGCGACGUGGUUCGAAACGUAUUUUCAUGACGUCGUAAUUCUCUUAAAAUAAAUAAGGAUAAAAGCAAUUUACAAAUAAAAGGGCACAUGGGCUAGCAUGUAUUAAAAUUCGAUAAAAUCAAAUGCAACAAUUGAGCAACCGUGCUAGAACCACGAAACCCGGAAAUGCCUAAUACCUUCUCCCGGGUUAACAGAAUUCCUUAUUCGGAUUCUGGUUCGCAAACUAUAACAGAGUCAUAAUUUCCUCGGUUCGGGAUUCAACUGGUGACUUAGGACACCAUUCAUCUCCCAAGUGGCGACUCUGAAUAAUUAAUAAUUAUAUCCCGUUCCGAUUGUCCUUUAAUUGGAAAAACUCCUUUACGCCCUUUGCGGGGUGUAGGUGAAAAAGGAGGUGUGACAACUCUGGCAACUCUUCUGGGGACAAGAACCCAGAACGUUUUUUUCAAGGUUCAGAAUUCAAGCUUAGAAUAAUUUUGUGUUUGGCUUUAUCUGAUUUUGUUACAUGAUCUACGCUUAAUGGGCGAAUUGACUGCUUUUACCGCUUUGAUAUUAUGUGAACUGUAUAUAAACUGCGCUGAAACCUGUCUCCUCUCCGAGUCUUCUAAAUCAUGAAGAAGGGCGCACUUCGUGUUGAACUGUAUAUAAACUGUGCCGACACCAUUCUUUUCACCUCUAGGGAUGUGCUUACUGGUUGAGACUCCCUAUUCUGUUAGUGUCAUACCCUGAAAUAAGAAAGUGGCUGGAUAAGUUGCAAAUCCGGAUGAUCUCGCAGGUUACCGGUACGCUGCCCCCUCCUUGACUCAAGUUUUCCGCUCGGGUACACAGUCUAGAACACAUACCUAGGUUUUGAACCUAGAAUAAUGUGACUCUCUGCCGGAUCCCUAGUAGGAACUCUUAUUUGCAUCAUGUUGCAUUUGACUUAGGGGGUUCAACACAGGAGUUGGGUCCGUCUAGGGCUAGCAACCUGAAAUGAAAAAUGCCAUCAUGAUGCAUCCUACUUGCUAUGUACAUAUAUUUGUUUCGAACCUGCAUGUUGACCGGUUUCUGAAUCUCGGGAAUUUAGAAAUUUGAGUGAAAAAAUAGAAAAGAGAAAAAGAGAGAAAUAAUAGUUAGGGAGUUAAUUGAUUAUUUUAGAAAAACCAAUGACCAAGUACUGUCAAAACUUUGCCGAAAUUUUGAGAAAAUGAAGAAAGAAAAUAGGGAAAAAGAGUCUUUUAUAUUUUAUUUUUGAAAAAUAGGUUGUUUGUUGAAAAUGAAAAGAAAAAAAGAAGUCGUUUAUUUUGUCUUGUUUUCAAAAAUAAAAAAGAAAAAUAGUUUGUCUUGCCAUGAAAAAUGAAAAUGAAAAAGACUCUUGUUUUUAAAAUAGUCUUUUUAUGAAAUGCCAAAAAUAAAAAUGAAAAAGAGUCUUGUUUUUAAAAUAGUUUUUUUAUGAAAUUCCAAAAAUAAAAAUGAAAAGAUUCGUGUUUUUUAAAGUGGUUUUGUUAUUUGCUUUUGAAACGCCAAAAAAUGAAAAUCAAAAGAGUCUUGUUUUAAAAGGGCUCGGUUAAUUUGCCCGAACUGCGCAUGGUUUGAUUCUCACAUGGCGUGAGAUACGUAGGCAACCCUCAUCGGGUCCAACCUCCUCUUUGAAAAAAUAGACCAAAAAAUGUCAAAAUUUUAAUCACAAAUAAACCUGGUGAUGCCAUUUUUUUCAAAAAUAGCUAGAUGUUCCCAAAGGGGGCGCCGGAAGGCUGAUUUUGCAUAAACAGCCACCUUUGGUCAUGUUUUUAUUUUUUGACCCUUACAGUCUUAAUUUUUCGUCCUCGAGGCGUUGAAAGGUCGUGGUUGUAAUACUAGCUCCUUUAUUACAAAUUGAAAAACAAGAAAAGAGUUGUAAAUAAGUCAAGAAGGGCUAUUUUGUCAUAAAUAGCCGAAUGUUCCCGAAAGGGACGCCGGAAAGCUGACUUUGCAAAACAAGCCAUUUUGGUCAAUUUUGAUUUUUGACCGGUUGAUUCUCACAGCCUUAAAAUCUUCGUUCCUGAAGUGCUGAAAGGCCGCGUUUGAAAAUCGAGUCCAUCAUUUUUAAAAUCAAGGAAAAGAAUAUAGAUAGUUUUAUUUUAAGUCGGAUAAAAGUUUUUCUUUUGCUUAAUCGCCUUAAUAAAUGUGCAGGAUGAGCACGAUGCAAAAUGAAACCUUUUCAAUAAUGACCAAAAUCCCUUUUGAGUUGCAAUUAUGUUGGAACGACUUAGGUGAAGAGGGGCAAGACGAAGUAAAGAAAUACUUGAAGGGUCUCACGGGUUUAUUAGACAUCAGGCCACAGGGUGAUAUUAUAAGAGCAUUGGUCAUUUGUUGGGACCCGGCGCACAAUGUCUUCCACUUCCCAGAUUUUGAGCUCACACCGUUAUGGAAGAAAUAGCUGGGUACAUCGGAAAUGUUGAGGUUCCGCUAAAAGAAAAAUAUCUGGUUGUUCCAAAAGCCGUCACGGUGCAUCGGUUUCUGAAUUCCUUGACAAUACCCCGGACAGUUCACCAUCAAGAUUUUGCAAAUGGUUUCUGCAAUUUCCACUUCAUAUACGACAGGUAUGGCCACGUGGGAGGAUUUGACAAGCCAGACAUUAAGCUGUGCAGUAGAAAUACCCGUAUAAUAUGGGAUGAGCAGAGAGGGUUGGCUUUCAUGAUAACCUUUUUGGGCCUCUUAGUGUUCCCGAGAAAAGAUAAGAACAUUGAUAUAAGAGUAGCCGGGAUCGUCAGUACCUUGCUUUCUCAAGAUGAUAGAACACUUGCGCCCAUGAUCGUGUAUGACAUUUUUCGGGAUCUCAGUGUUUGCAAAGUCGGGGGCAAUUUCUUCGAGGGGUGUAAUUAGUUGCUACAAAUGACGAUGAUUGAGCAUCUAUGCCACUAUUCCCAGCCUUUGAGUUAUGAUUUGCCUGACAAAACCUGUAUCGGAGAGUUUUAUACCAGGAUUGAUGGGGUUAGUCGGCCUGAAGGAGUAAUAGCAUGGAUAUCAUACUUUCGGACUAUUAAGGCCAGUCAAAUACAGUGGAUAUUGGGAUGGUUGCAUGUCGAAGAAAUUAUAUACAUGCUAGCAGCUAAGUCGCAUUUUCUUCGGAUGGAACAUAAGAGCAUCCAGCCUUAUGCUUCAUGUCGGGUUCUGAGACAGCUCGGAAUAUGGCAAACAGUACCACGGGAGAAGGAUCUUAGUGUUCAAGUAAUUGAGAUUAGCCCUGAUGGACAGUUUCCCAAGGCAAAAGUCCGCGAGAUUUAGAAUGAACGCUAAUAUCUACAAGUAGAUACUUGUGUGCAAAAUUGGGCCAAAGGAGAAGUAGUUCCACAAUACCUCGCAUGGUACAAAAGGGAACUCGAGCAUCAGAGGCCGGCUAAGAGACCCCACAUCCAAGAUUUUGCUGAAUCAUCACUAGAACAAUGGGAUUGGUUAGCCAAGGAAGAAGGCUAUCGAGCUGAGAUUGGUAAGCUGAAGCAACAAGUUGAAAGUAUGAAAUUUGAGAACAGUGUACAGGUUUCCGCGGAUCAAGGUGAAAAAAACAGACUGGCUCGAGAAAAUGAAGCACUUAGAGCCCAAAUCCGGUAGUUGAGAAUAUCUGCAAACAAACAACCAAGGAGUCGAUCAGAUGAGCGAUUGAUAAAAGGGUUGGAAAAUCAAGCCAGGGAAUGUCAAAAUGAAUUAGAAAAAUCUAAGAAUGUCAUGGCAGAGCUCAAAGCACAGUGGGCUACAAGAAUAGAGGAGCGUCAACAGUACUUGAAUCAAUUGAAAAGGGACCACGAGAAAAUUAUUGCCAAUCUAAAGAAAAAGGUGGUUGCCCUUGAGGGUAAAGUGGUUAAGCAGGCUAGGGAUUUUGAAAUUGAAAGUGGGCAUUGUUAUGACCUGCUGGCCCAAAUGGAGGUAGAAGUGCAGCAGUUGCAGAGUCAGCAUCAACAAAAUUGUCAGGCCCUAAAGACAUGCAGUAAUCAGAUAAGAUGCUUGCUCAUAGAAAAAAAAAAAGCAAACCAAAGACAAGAUCAGGGCCAUUGCUCACGCCAUUUUGAGAAGAUGUCGGGCAUGUGAAGAUAUGACCUAUACUACUUUUAUCCUAGUAGUAAUGAUCUAUGUGAAGUGAACCGUGAAUGAAUUAGAGCAACUUGAAAGGGAUUUAGAUCCUAGGCACGUGGCGAGGCCGAAAGAUGCCCCGCGGGCACCUAGAAUUUAGGCUUUAGAAUAUGCAUAGUUCGUGUUUGUAGUUUUCUAUUUUUGAGUCUGUCAAUUGAGUGUCCAUUGUCUUUGCACAUCAACUAUGUUGGUAGUCUUUGAGUCUCCGAGUGUUUUUAGUUUGCGUCUGUUAUUUUCAUUCCGCAAAAGUGUUUAGUUUAUAAUAGUUUCUUUUAGUAGUGAAAAUCAAAAACUCCAAAAUUUUAUUUCCAUCCUUUAUUUUUGCAUUUUUUUCACGAACUUCGCUUGGUCUGAUUUGUGCGGGGUCAUAAUACAUAUGCAAUCUCCAUAGGAUUCGACCGUAAUCGUAAAAAGAAAAGAAGAAGAAAAUAGAGAGUGAGAAAAAGAAAAGAGCAAAAAAAAUAGGCGAAAAUAAAGAAAGAAAAGAGCGGAAAAAACAAGGAAAAAAGGAAUGAAAGUAAGAAAAGGGUAAAACCAUAAAGAGCAGAAAAACAAAGAAUGGAUAGAGUAAGAAAGCAAAAGAGAAAGAAAGAGAGAAAAAGAGAAUGAAAAGAAAGUUGUGACGGAAAAUAAUAAAAGGCCGGGAUAACGCAUGCAAUCGAGCAAAUGCAUAAUAGAGACGGUUAAAUGUAUAAGUGAAUUCAUGCCAACAUGAGGUUAUCCAAGCUGUUAAAGCCUAAUCACUAAUCAAGUUGUUGUCCAAAUGCGUGAGUACAGAAAGGUGGUUAGUUAAUCCGGCAUUCUGGCAACUCAUCCGUACAAUACCUGGUCAAAAGAUAAAGUAGACAUGACAGGACAUGAUGCAGACAUCAGUAUUUUGGACCCUACAAAUGAAGUUGAGGUAACAGAUAUGGGUGCUAUGAAAGAAAAGAUGCAGAAACUGAAAGCGCAAAUGGCCGAAAUGCAUGGGGCUUGGUAUAAGGGGCAUCCGGCACCAUCAUACCCUGCCAACUCACCAUACAUCCCACCUCUCGCUCAGGCUCCGGAGCCCACCACUCCCCACGCAUCUUCAACUUUCCCCUAUCCCACCCAGGUCUAUGGUACCACUUCAUAUGCUCCUCCAGCUCCACCAUCCAAACAGAACCCCCCUUCACCCAUAGUUCCAGUCUUUGUGGCACCUCCCCUAUCCACAUUACAUAGAUCGUCCAGCUCACGACACUCAAUAUUACCCCCAUGAACCCACUUUCAAAGCUCCGGAGCCAUAUACCUACACACCCCAUUUUGAGAUCCCGGGAGAAGUUGAGAAACCCGUUAAAAAUGUGGAAUAGGAUCCGUAUACUUACAAAGAUUUUUGCCCUUUUCCUAAUUUUCAGUUGCCCGCAGGGUUCAAAAUGCCCAAGUUCAAUUUGUAUAUGGGACAUGGCGACCUGAUGGCCCUCCUUCGAGGUUUCUGCAGUAAAAUAAGAGGAGCUGGGGGAAAGGAUGAAUUGCUGAUAGCCUAUUUUGGUCAAAGUUUGAGUGGGUCCGCACUUGAGUGGUACACGAGACCGGAUCCUGGCCGAUGGUAUACAUGGGAUGAUUUGGCACAAGCCUUCAUUGGCCACUUUCAGUAUAAUCUUGAGAUAUUCCCCGAUCGUCUGUCAUUGUAAAAAUUGGAGAAGAAGCCCGGGGAAAGUUUUAGAGAAUUUGGUUUCCGCUGGAGAGAACAAGCACCAAGAUCUGUUCCUCCGAUGAGAGAGAAUGAAAUGGUAGAUUACUUCUUGCAGACAUUGGAGCCGACCUACUUUGGUCAUCUGGGAGCCAUUAUUGAAGAGGGAUUGAAGUCUAACAAAAUCUUGAGUUGUUCGACCUUGAAAACAACUACCCAAGCCAUCCAAAGCGGUACUGGUGGUGUGCUCGGAAAGAAGACGAAAGAAGAACUUGCUAAGCUGAAGCUAGUACUUGGUCUAGGCCAACCAACCCUCGGCCCUACUACAACCAACCAACACCCUACCACCCAAAUUACCAGUACACCCCAUUGGCCCAUCAUAACAUUACUACCCACCACCAUAACCACACUUUUCUGUCCACCAAACUCAGGCAUAUACUCAGCCUCCGGCGCACCAGCAAUGGCAUGAACCGGCUCUUGAAAACACAUAUCCACCUCCACAAAACACCUAUUCAACUCCCAGGGCUAAUAGACCAGGAACCAGCUUUCGCCCAAACCAAGCUUUCAAAAAUGAGAAGGCCUCGAAAAAAAAAAUAUUUACUCCGCUGGGAGAAUCUUACACCUCUCUCUUCCAUAGAUUGAAACAGUUGGGAAUGUUGACCCCAAUUGAGCCCAAAGUACCAAAUCCCCCUCCCAGAAACCUUGACCAUUCUAUUAGCUAUAAGUAUUGCUCAGGGAUUCCGGGGCACGAUACUGAGAAGCGUUGGAAAUUGAAGAAUGCGGUGUAGGAACUUAUUGAUAAUCGCCGUAUUGAGGUACAGGCUCCGGAGGUGACAAACAUUAACCAAAACCCAUUGCCAGCGCAUCACGAGACUAACAUGAUUGAAUUGAUACAUAGAGCAGAGCCGAAAAGCCCUCGUAGACGGUCAUGAUGAUCUGUUCUAUUGAAGCCAAGGAGAAAGAAAAGGCAGUUAUGGUAAAGCCAGCAAUUCAAUCAAAGGAAAAAAAUGACAAGCCAGUGGUGGUAAUGGGAAAAGGGUCGUUCAUCGGCAUAAAGAAUCUAGAGCCAGCUAAGUUAGUAGUACCAGGGACAUCAUCUGUGCCCGUGGUUGUUGUAAAAGGGCCCUGCAUAGAACCGGUCAUCAUAAAGCCGGUAGUCCAAUUACCCAUGGUCAAUAGCAAAGGCGUGCCGUGGAAAUAUGAAAAAGUAGUGGUGACAUACAAAGGAAAGAGAAUUGAGGAAGAGAGUUGUGAAGCACAGGGGUUAACUCGGUCGGGACGUUGUUUUGCUCCCGAAGAGCUAAGAAAAGCCAGGGCUAAUAAAGACAAUACAGUACUAUUCAAGAAGGUUGUGACAGAAGAAAAGGUGGAGGAAUUGCUGAAAAAGAUGAAAGCACAGGAUUAUUCCAUUAUUGAACAAUUGAGAGAAACCUCGGCUCAGAUCUCGUUGUUAUCAUUACUGAUCCACUCGGACGAGCAUCACCGAGCUUUGAUGAAGAUAUUGAAUGAAGCUCAUGUGCCUGACAAAAUUUCAGUCAACCAUCUGGAAACCAUUGCCAUCAAGAUCUUUGAGGGGAAUAGGAUAACAUUUUCUGAUGAUGAAUUGCCCGUGGAGGGCACUGAACACAAUAAAGCCCUAUACUUGAUGGUCAAGUGUGAAGAUUCAAAGGUUACUCGGGUGUUGAUCGAUAAUAGGUCUAGUGCCAAUAUUUAUCCGUUGUCCACGCUGAACUAGUUGAAGAUUGAUGAUGAUAGAAUCCACAAAAAUAGUGUUUGUGUUCAAGGGUUUGACGGGGGAGGAACAGACACGGUGGGGGAUAUUAUACUUGAAUUGACUAUUGGACCAGUCAAGUUCACUAUGGAAUUUCAUGUGUUGGACACUACAGUAUCUUAUAAUCUUUUGCUGGGUCGGCCAUGGAUCCACGCGGCCAAGGCAAUGCCUUCCACAUUGCACCAAAUGGUCAAGUUUGAGUGGGACAGACAAGAAAUUAUGCUACAUGUGGAAGAUCCCACAUGCACUGUAAGUAACGCCAUUGUGCCCUUUAUAGAAACUGAUGAUGAUAAGGGGCCAUGGGUUUAUCAGGUCUUCGACACGAUCCUAGUGAACAGAGUGUGCCAGAAUGUAAAAAUAUUCUCCGUCCCAAGGUGGCAGCUGCGACCGUUAUGGUAGUUUAAAAAAUGCUGAGUAAUGGGUUCGUUCCAGGGAAAGGUUUUAGAGCUGAGCUUCAGGGCAUUGUUUGGUGAACAGAGUGCUAGAAGGUAAAAGCAUUCCACGUCCCAGGGUGGCAUCUCCGACCGUCAUGGUAGUAUCAGAAAUGCUGAAUAAUGGGUUCGUGCCAGUGAAAGGUCUGGGGGCUAAGCUUCAGGGUAUUGUUCAACCUGUUUCUCUGCCUAAGAAUUUGGGCACCUUCGGGUUGGGGUUCAAACCAACAGCAGCAGAUGUCAGAAGGGCUCAUAAGUUGAACAAGAAAGCUUGGUUUCUUCCCAAACCGAUUCCACGCCUGUCCAGGUCUUUCGUCAGGCUGGGUGUCAGAAAGCAGUUAUUGGCAAAGGUGUUGGGUUUGAUGAAGUGAACAUGGUUAAGGCAAGGGAAGGGUCAAGCAAAGCAGAUAUCCAAUACAUCGGAUCACGUGCUAAUAUCAACAAUUGGGAAGAUACUCUUCUUCCAGUUCGGAGGGAGUCGUGGUAGUGGGUUUUGUUUUCCUUUUGUUCACCUAGAUUAUUCCAGGGUUUGUAAUUCAGUUGCUAUGUUCCAUCCGUUUGGAUGAGUUAAAACCCUGUUAUCUUUACAUUUAAUGAAAUGGUUCACCUAGAUUAUUCCAGGGUUUGUAAUUCAGUUGCUAUGUUUUGUCUGUUUGGAUGAGUUUAAACCCUGUUAUCUAUACAUUUAAUGAAGUGCAACUUUUCUUCUUUCUUUAUUCCUAAUUUUGUUUCCAUUUUUUCUUUCUUUCUUUUCUUUUGUGUACAGUUCUUUUUAUGCUGAUAUCAAUGACAUAACAUGCAUGAGGAAUCUUCGGCCCAAUUUUAUAAGCAAAUCUAACUCGGAUAUAAUAAUAUAAGAAAUAGAGUGUGAUGAUGAAGUGGAAUGUGACGAUGAUGAGGCCUAUGAAGAAAUUAGUAAGGAAUUAGGUCAUUUUGAAGAAAACCCCAAACCUAACCUAAAUGACACAGAAGCAGCUAAUCUAGGGGACCAAGAUAAUGUGCGGGAAACUAAAGUGAGUUUUCAUCUGUAGCCACAACUCAAGGAGGAGAUAAUUAAAGCAUUGUUCGAAUACAAGGACUUUUUUGCAUGGUCGUAUGAUGAUAUACUGGGUCUAAGCACCAAUUCACUGGUUCACAAAUUGCCCACUGAUCCGGUACUCCCUCCUGUCAAGCAGAAGUUGAGAAAGUUCAAAACGGACAUAAGUGUAAAGAUCAAAGAAGAGAUUGCCAAGCAGUUUUAUGCAAAGAUCAUUCGGGUUACAUGGUAUCCCACCUGGUUAGCUAAUGUUGUGCAUGUCCCUAAGAAAGAUGGCAAGACCAGGGUGUGCAUCGAUUAUCGGGAUCUUAACAAGGCGAUUCCAAAGGACAAUUUCCCAUUGCCGAACAUCCACAUGUUGAUUGACAAUUGUGCCAAUCAUGAUAUUGGUUCUUUUGUGGACUGUUACGCGGGUUAUCAUCAGAUCUUAAUGGACGAGGAACAUGCAGAAAAUAUGGCAUUCAUCACGCCGUGGGGAACGUACUAUUAUCGGGUCAUGCUGUUCGGUUUGAAAACUGCUAGGACAACUUAUAUGAGGGCCAUGACAACAAUAUUCCAUGAUAUGAUGCAUAAGGAAAUUGAGGUGUAAGUGGAUGAUGUGAUCGUUAAGUCCUGACAGCAGCCCGACCAUGUCAGAGAUUUGAGAAAGUUCUUUCAAAGGCUUCGCAGGUACAAUCUUAAGCUCAAUCCUGCAAAAUGUGCUUUUGCGGUGCCAUAUGGGAAGUUAUUGGGGUUAAUAGUCAGUCGUUGGGGUACUGAGCUAGACCCGCCAAAGAUCAAUGCUAUUCAGGAAUUGCUGCCUCAAAGAAACAAAGCUGAGGUGAUGAGUUUGUUGGGAAUAUUGAAUUAUAUCAGUAGGUUCAUUGCUCAGCUCAUGACAACUUGUGAGCCAAUUUUCAAAUUGUUAAAGAAAGACGCUGUAGUCAAAUGGACUGAUCUGUAAAAUGUGCUUUCGGGGUGCCGUCUGGGAAGUUGUUGGGAUCUAUAGUUAGCCGUCGGGGUAUUGAGCUCGACCCGUUGAAGAUCAAAGCUAUUUAGUAAUUGUCGCCUCCAAGAAACAAAAUUGAGGUGAUGAGUUUGUUGGGAAGAUUGAAUUAUAUCAGUAGGUUUAUUGCUUAGCUAACGACAACUUGUGAGCCGAUUUUCAAAUUGUUAAAGAAAGACGUUGCAGUCAAAGGGGAUGAUGAAUGUCAAGAGCCUUUUGAUAAAAUAAAGGAGUAUUUGUCGAAACCACCCGAGUUGGUCCCGCCAGAACCAGGGAGACCUUUGAUUCUAUAUCUGACGGUUUUGGCUAAUUCAUUCGGCUGUGUAUUGGGGCAGCAUAAUGUUACUGGUAGGAAGGAGCAGGCUAUCUAUUAUCUCAGCAAGAAGUUCACAUCGUACGAGGUCAAGUAUACUCAUCUGGAAAGGACGUGUUGCGCCCUAACUUGGGUGGCACAGAAGUUGAAACAUUAUUUUUCGUCCUACACAACUUACCUCAUAUCUCGAUUGGACCCAAUGAAGUAUAUUUUUCAGAAGCCUAUGCCAUGGGGAGGCUCGAAAAGUGGCAGAUCCUGCUUACAGAGUUCGAUAUUAUCUAUGUGACACGGACUGCAGUGAAAGCACAUGCAUUAGCCGAUCAUUUGACUUAGAUUCGGUCGAUGAAGAUUAUGAAACGUUGAGACUUAUUUCCUUGAUGAAGAGGUGAUGCACAUUGAAGAAUUGGAACAAGUUGAGAAGCCGGGAUGGAAACUCUUCUUUGAUGGGCUGCAAAUAUGAAAGGCAUGGAAAUAGGGCCGAUACUCAUUUCUCAAACAGGUCAGCGCUAUCCUAUUAUCGCUUAGCUUCGUUUCUAUUGUAUGAACAACUUGGCAGAAUAUAAAGCGUGUAUCUUGGGACUGAGAUUAGCUGUAGAUAUGGGUGUCCGAGAAGUCUUGGUCAUGGGUGACUUGGACCUACCGGUACACAAAAUUCAAGGAGAAUGGGAAACAAGAGAACUAAAGCAUAUACCGUACCGGCAAUGUUUUCGUGAGCUUUGCCAACGGUUCAAGUCUGUAGAGUUCAGGCACAUCGCAAGGAUUAUAAUGAGGUCUCCGAUGCUUUGGCUACUUUGGGAGUCAAUGUUUCAUCACCCGGACAAGGCUUAUGUAGACCCUUUGCAGAUUCAGGUCUGGGAUCAGCAUGCUUAAUUAUAAUAUGGUAGAGGAGGAGUUUGGCGGCGAGUCGUGCUUUCACGACAUCAUGGAAUAUAUCAGAAUGGGGGUAUAUCCGGUGCAUGCUACCGGUGAUCAGAAAAAAUGAUUCGGUGAUUAGCAAGCGGGUUUCUUCCUUAGUGGAGGGGUGUUAUAUAAAAGAACCCUAGAUCUCGGGCUGUUGAGGUGCAUGGAUGCAAGGCAAGCCACAUCUAUCAUGACUGAGGUACAUUCCGGAGUCUGUGGACCGCAUAUGAGUGGAUAUGUUUUGGCAAAGAAGAUCCUACGGGCAGAGUAUUAUUGGCUUAGUAUGGAGCAAGAUUGUAUCGGUUUUGUGCGUAAAUGCCAUCAGUGCCAAGUGCAUAGAGAUUUGGAUAUUCUCCUCCAUCAUAGCUACAUACGAUGUCCACACCAUGGCCUUUUAUCUCAUGGGGCAUGGAUGCAAUUGGGCCAAUCGAACCGGCAGCGGCAAACGGGAACAGGUUCAUUUUGGUAGCUAUAGACUAUUUUACCGAGUGGGUAGAGGCUAAGACAUUCAAGUCUGUAACCAAGAAAGUUGUGGUGGAUUUUGUACACUCGAAUAUUGUAUGUCGGUUUGGGAUACCGAAAUUGAUCAUUACAGACAAUGGGGAAAACCUUAAUAGUCAUCUGAUGAAGGAAACAUGUGAGCAGUUCAAGAUUACCCAUAGGAAUUCUACUUCGUACCGUCCUAAGGCCAAUGGUGCGGUUGAGGCAGCUAAUUAGAAUAUAAACAAAAUAUUGCAGAAUAUGGUAGAAAGGUUGAGACAGUGGCAUGAAAAGUUGCCUUUUGCAUUGUUGGGGUACCGCACCACUGUUCGUACUUUAGUGGGGGCGACUCCUUAUUCAUUGGUGUAUGGCACUGAGGUAGUAAUAACUGCAGAGGUGGAAAUCCCGUAUCUGCGAAUCAUUGUGGAGGCUGAGAUCGAUAAUGAUGAAUGGGUGAAAAGUCACCUUGAGCAGUUGAGUUUGAUUGACGAGAAAAGAUUGGCAUCGGUAUGUCAUGGUCAAUUGUACCAACGAAGAAUGGCAAGAGCAUACAACAAGAAAGUGCGCCCGAGGAAAUUUGAAGUCGGACAGUUAGUACUGAGGCGGAUUUUGCCUCAUUGGGUUGAACAAAAGGAAAAUUCACCCCGAACUGGCAGGGGCCAUUUGUAGUAACCAGAGUGUUGUCUAAUGGUGCACUGGAUUUGAUAGAUAUAGAAAGAAAAUGUGUAGAAAUGGCCAUCAAUUCCGAUGCGGUUAAGACUGAAUGUAUCUGUUUGCAUUUGGCAUAUUUUAAAGAUUGAAAUGACGAAAGAGUUUUAUUCUACUAUCGAAACACUUUUAUCCCUUGUCAUCCCCUUUGAGCCUUACUUAUUUUUCAUACCCCUCUUUCGAAAACAACAACACUAUCAAGAAAUACAAGUCUCGAACAUAAAAGAAAGAAAAGAAGAGUAAAGAGAAAAGAAAAGAAAAUGAAAAGUAAAGAAAAAAAGAGAAAGAAAAGAAAAGAAAAAGAAAAGGAGAAAAGAAGAGAAAAGAAGAUGAAAAGAAAGAAAAGGAAAGAAAAAACACAACAACAAAGGUAAUUAUGAUAUAGUGAACUACAUUUGACUUGAUCCCAAAAGGGUGCGUAGGCAGCCUCUCUAAGGUUCAGUCAAACCAAAAUAAAAAAACAAAAGUCCCCAAGCAAGAAACUAGGGCAGAAGUUGUGAUGAUUGUGAGAAAUUGGAUUCCGAAAGUUGUAAUUGUAACCCAUUUUGAAAUUGUUUUUGAGCCUUUUAUACCCUUCUUGCUGACCCUUCCAAAAGCCUACAUUAUGAUCCAAAGAAAGACCUUCUGAUUAAUUUUUGAGAAAUGCCAAGUCAAGCAGGAAAAGGAAAUUUGCAAUAGAAACGACACUCUGGUUCAAGCAAGAAAAACAAAAGAUAAAAAUGAGAGACUCUUAUUGAUGAAAACCCUCACGGGCACCAUAAGGCGACAUGAGCUGAAAGAAAAGUAAAAUGAGAGAGCUUUAGUGGUAAAAACCCUCACGAGCACCUUAAGGUGAAAGUGAGUUGAGAAAUGGAAAACUGAGAAAGGUCUGUUGGUGAAAAUUGUCUCGUAGCGCCGCAAGAUAAACGAGGUUAAGGUUUAGGUAAAUUAAUCAAGUGAUUGAAAUUCUGGGAAAUGAAGUAUGACAACUGGAAGUUGGUUAGCUUGAUCGGUUAGUCUGAAAUGCAUGCCAUGGUCAUUGGUGCCAGCUGUUCCGGUCAGAUAAGUUUCUUUUCUUUUUCCCUUUUAACGGUUAUCUGGUUUUGGAUUCUUCUUAUCCUAAACUCAUAAAAUCAUUGCAUUUCAUUAUUUUUGGGGGUUAGUUUGUCUAAAAUGUUCCAAUGUCAGUUUUGUUCAAUGCAAAGGGGAAAGGAUUUCAAAGCCCAUUACCAGUUUUCGAAAAUGGUAAAUGUUACGACCCGAACCCAAUCGUGAUGGUGUCCAACAAAAUAGCUAGGCAAGCCUGACCAAUUAUCUCUCAUGAACCUAACAUGUUAACUCAUUACCGACAAUUUAAGGGAAUUUAUCUAUUUAAAAAUAAUAAUUCAAUGUUUACAAUAAAAACAAUAUGGAACAUACAAAAAUAUCCGACAAAAACACUCCCAAUAGAAUCUGGGGUCACGAGUCUAGAGCCUCUAGAAAAACUGGAUAAUAAUAUCUGAACGGAAAUACACAAGUCUGGAAAUGUGUGUGUGUGUGUGAUAUAUAUAUAUAUAUAUAUAUAUAUAUAUAUAUAACUGAAAUAAGGAGGAGGAGUCAGGUCCUGCGAACGUCAAGCAGCUACCUUAACAACUCUGAUAAUCUCUGGAGACAGCCACUACUCAUCUAAGCCUCCGGUGCACCUGAAUCUGCACACGAGGUGCAUGGAGUAGGGGUGAGUACUACAAACUCAGUGAGUAAUAAGUAUAUAAAAUGUCUGAAGAUUAGAAUCCACGAAAUGCCACAAAAUGAAGCUAAGACUAACAGUCUGACACAUUAACUAUGGACUAACAACAAAACAAUAUCGGACAGAUAUAAAUACAUGUCGNNNNNNNNNNNNNNNNNNNNNNNNNNNNNNNNNNNNNNNNNNNNNNNNNNNNNNNNNNNNNNNNNNNNNNNNNNNNNNNNNNNNNNNNNNNNNNNNNNNNNNNNNNNNNNNNNNNNNNNNNNNNNNNNNNNNNNNNNNNNNNNNNNNNNNNNNNNNNNAAAUAUAUAUAUAUAUAACUGAAAUAAGGAGGAGGAGCCAGGUCCUGCGAACGUCAAGCAGCUACCUCAACAACUCUGAUAAUCUCUGGAGACAGCCACUGCUCAACUAAUCCUCCAGUGCACCUGAAUCUGCACACGAGGUGCAGGGAGUAGGGGUGAGUACUACCAACUCAGUCAGUAAUAAGUAUAUAAAAUUUCUGAAUAUAAGAAUCCACGAAAUGCCACAAAAUGAAGCUAAAACUAACAGUCUGACACAUUAACUAUGGACUAACAACAAAACAAUAUCGGAUAGAUAUAAAUACAUGAAUGCAACGAAAUGCACAUGACCCGCUGCGGCGUACAGCCCGAUCCAUUGGGUACCCGCACUCACUGGGGGUGUGUACAGACUCCGGAGGGGCUCCUGCAUCCCAAGCGCAAUAUUCUCAUAUCAUUACUGCGGCGUGCGCCCGAUCUAUACUCAGUCCAUAGUAUGCAUAUGAGUCACUUAACACAUUCGAUUAAAUUCUUAGUUUCCAAUUAUUAAGAAAAUAUAAAUUAGUUAUUUAACUUCAGGAAAAGUGACUUAGCAUUUCAUAACGGUGAUUAAACACAGGACUGAGAUCAAGGAUUAUACAGAUCAUGCUAUCACAAUGAUAUUCAUCCUAUGAGGAUAUAGAUCGGCACAAGGCCCAAACGUGGCAAUAAGCCCGGAUAUAUUCAAUACAGGGUGCGUAUCAGUCGCUAAUAUAGUAAAAUUCUUGUUCGGGAUGGACCAAGUCACAAUCCCUAGUCAUAAACCACUCCACACCUGCCAUGGGAUGCGAGUUACGCCAUAAUAUAGCGUCCCAAUGUGAUAAAACGGGGUUUCAAACCCUCAGGCCAUCAUCUAUAUAGACUACUCACCUCUAACCGACCAUAGACGAGUUCGCAAGGCCUUUCCCUUUUGUAUCGACCUCCUCGCGUGUUUCACCUCUAACCGGUUGUAGACUGGUCUGCAAUGCCUUUUACUUUUGUAUCGACCUCCUCGCGCAUCAAAUCUAGUCAAAAUCAAUACAUUAUAUACUAAGGAAACAUAACCCCAUUGAAAAUACUCAAAAAUACUAACGAAGUUGGCAAAACCCGAGACCCAAGACCACGUCUUGAAACUCAGAAAUUUUUAUACCAAAGUGUUCCUUAUCUCGCCACGAGUCCAUACAUACCAAAUUCACAAGAAUCGGAGUUCAUAAAUCCUCAAUUUAAAAAUCUCAAACCUCAAGCCCUAGUUCUUCCCAAAUUCUAUCUCAAAUCACUAAUUAAAUGAUGAAUUCAAUGGUAUAUUCAUGUGCUCUAAUCAAAUCUGAGUAAGAAUCACUUACCCCGAUGAAUUUCUUGAAAAACCUUCGAAAAAUCGCCAAAAUCCGAGCUCUAUGGUUCAAAAUAUCAAAUAAAACCCAAAAGCUCAUAUUUAUAGAGUACCCCCUCGGAUUACCGCAGCACUGACCGCACAAAAAUGACCGCGGUCCGCGCUCAGGAAGUGCGGUCCGCGCAAAAAUGGCUAUGGCCACGCAGGAAUUUGACUGCAGUGACAGGCUUCACUAUUUUAGCCAUAACUUUCAUUAAUGAUUUCCAAAUGCCUAUUAUUAUAUAUUUCUGAAAACUAGAUUCAAAGAUCUACAAUUUUCCUUUUUGACUCAACCCCAUCUACUUUGUAGGGCAACGGAUAUGAGCUUCUGAAGUAGGAUCAGUGACUUGCAGAUCUUCACCUACGCGAACCACGCCGCCUGACCGCGGUCCGUGCCCAAAUCACUGCCCCUUCCAUUUUCUAAGUUUCGGGAUGUUUGUACUCGCUCAAACCUCACCCAAAACAUACCCGAGGCCCCUUGGACCUCACACAAAAGCACUUACGAGUCUGAAAACACAUUAAGGACUUAGUCGAGGCCUCAAAUCACAUCACAUAUCAUCAAAAUCACCAAUUAUGCCUGGAUUCAAGCCUAAGAACUUAUUAAAUUCCCAAAUUUCACAUCUGAUGCCGAAACAAGUCAAAACUAGUCUGAAUGACCUCAAACUUUGCAGACAAGACCAAAAUGACAUAUCGAAGCUACAACAACUCUCGGAAUUCAAUUCCGACCCUCGGAUCAAAAUCUCACCUAUCAACCGGAAUUCGCUAAAAUUCAAACUUAGCCAAUUCAAGAACGGAGCUGCUGAAACUCUCGGGAUCCCAUUUCGACCCUCGGAUCAAAAUCUCACCUAUCAACCGGAAUCCGCUAAAAUUCAAACUUAGCCAAUUCAAGCCUAAUUCUACACCGGACCUCCAAAUUCAAUUCUGAUUGCACUCUUAAGCUACAAAUCAUCACCCCGAAACUAGUCGAAUCAUCGGAAAUCCAUUCCGAGCCCUCUAACUUCCAAGUCAACAUCAGGUUGACUUUUCCAAACAAAUUCUUCCUUAAAGAGACUAAUUGUGACAUUACCUAUCAAAAUUGAUCUCAAUUGAUUUAAAUUCACCAAGUACACAUAUUGAAACAUGAGUAAGCAUAAAACGGGGAAAACGGGGCGGUAACUCACGUGACGAAGGGUCAGGUUGUUACAUCCUCCUCAACUUAAACAAGUGCUCGUCCUCGAGCAUACCCAGAGUUGUACCAGAAGCAACCCAAUAGCUGAAUGACCUUACCAAGCACAUACCCGGGGUGAUCCUCCCCAACUUAAACAAACACUCGUCCUCGAACGUGCCCAGAGUUCUACUAGAAGCCAACCAAUAUCUGCAUAACCUUACCAAAUAUAUACCUGGGUUGAUCCUUCGUCACCCUACCUCGCCUAGGUCCGAUAAUACAAUUUAGCUGAAAUUUCACAGUCCAUCUAGACCAUAAAGGUAGAACUACAUUGCACUUUUGAAACCAUCCACAAGAUCAGAACCUCACAUCUAUACUCAUAAUAAGCCCGAACUAGCUAUAGUAACCAUACUUGCAACCUCAGGUGUUCCCAUGCAACAAACCACACAAUCCGACACUGGAACGAUACUCUCUAUUCAGAACAGUUGCCCAAAAUACUCAAUUAUCAAUAGGAACCUCUUAUUAGCUAAGGGCUUAUUCCAACACUUUCGUAUACUGCCAACGAUAAUUAAAACACGCAAUGAAAUGUAACAAUUUUUCAACUAAACCAUUCAUGAAGUCACUUUCCUUUUGGAUACUACCACAACUGAUUUCCAAGCUGAACCUCGAUAGUAUCCUUCUAACCAGCUGAAAUCAAAUCUAUUCAUAAUCAUUAAUGACUCCAAUUAUCCCCUAGAAUCCAAUAUCUCACUCUGGUGAUAUGACACCUCAACACAUGCCUAAGCCAUAUCUUGCAUCAUAUAUGCACCAAUAAGAGACAGUCCGAACAUACUCACAUCAUAGCAACUGAUUCAAACGAAAGAGAUGUACCUCAAGCUCAUCAGUACCAUCACAACACAAGGCUGAUGCCCUGUCUCACAUCAUAGAAGUAGAAUACCUUAAUCCUCCUUGAAAGGUCAUAACUUUACGUGGCCUCGCCACAAUCCACCAUCCUAUACAAACACUGUUACACCUGAAGAACCUCGAGUCACAAUGCUCCAAAAUAAACAACCACACAUAGAUUGUUGUCUGAAACCAAUCAAUCCAUCACACCCAAGGUGAAGAAAGUAAUAUACAUCAUUCACUCGUGAAAGGAAACAACCGAUACACUAUUUGUCGAGCAACUCCCAAUACAGACUUUCCUCAGGAACUAGAAAACAAGGAAUACAAAAUAACAUAUGGAAAACUACUCUCAACAUCACACUGUUGCGGCGUGCAACCCGAUAACAUACCAGUGGCGGCAUGCCACCCAAUCCACACAAAUAUUCACAUAGGGAGAUGCUCAUCGAGCAAAAUUUUCUCAUAAUCAGAGAAUACCGAGUAUCGGUCGUAAGCACAGUGAGUGCAUAAUCAUAUCUACUUAUUGCGUUGUAAGCUACAAAACUCAGCUUCUACUAUGAAUCUCGAUAGCACCGCAAUAUAUGUGCCACUGCCCAAAAAUCAUGAUGCCUCGCAGCACAGAAAAGCAACUCAUAGAUCUUUCCAGAUCACUAGUAGGUCCAAUAAUGAUAGAAUCAACCCAUCCUUUAUUAAUACAAUUCAGGACUAACCAAGCCAACUCAAGCUAAGCCCGUAUUCAAUCAGCUUACCAACAAACUCAUUACCAAGAAGCUUGAAGCUGCUCCUUCCAAUAUUAUAACUCAUGUCGGAGCCGUACGAUACGAUGUACGACACCAAGUAGAUACUAAAAUUCACAAUUUCACCCGGCAACAUGCCCGGCCACGAGAAACGCAUCCGAAAGGUCCCUAAAUACCGGAAUUGAAUCGGCGGUAAAAACCUCUGCACUGACAUCCACCACGAAGGCCUAAUUAAGAAAAAUAAAUCCUUCCCAUACGUCUGUUAAUCUUUGGAAUACAAACCACUCUUUUUAUAACAUAAUCUGAUGCACCUCGCCACGAUACCUAUGGCAUUUUUCGACCUAGCCCAUAGCACAAUAGUCUAGAAUAAGACAACACUAAGACAACCAGUCUACACCGAACAUCAUGUCCAACAUAUAACAUAUCUACAAAUAACAAUCCAUUCUAGCCUCCAAACACUAAUUGCCGCUAAAAGGUGCCGAAUACUCACGAUCCACAACCGUGACAUAGACUGUAUCGGAGAACUCCCAGCCUCCAACUCCAUAUAACACACAAAUCACUAUACAUGAUCCCACAUUUCGCAGUAUGAAUACAUAUUACACAUCAAGUACCCAUUCAUUCCACGAAAGAUAUUCUAAAAUUUCACUGUUCCAUCAACAAACUCAAAUGUCAACAGUUUGUCCAAUAGGAAACUGCCGAAAUCUCACCGAAGUAUUAUCAGUUUACAUCACCUUCCCCUCUUACUAAACGUAUACUCCUGUCAAAUCACUAGAAUGGUAAUACCAUUUUCCUUUAUCAUCUGAGGGUCGAUUAUUAAAUCACUUGCAGUUGCCCAUGCUGCUUAAGAAUUUAAUGACUUUCCAUUCGGAACUGAACCGUACCUUACACACACAAUAACGGUUUCCUUAAUCAUCUUAUGGUUGAUUCUUAAAUCACAAGCAGUUGCCCGUAAUGCUUAAGAAUUUAAUGACUUCCCAUUUGGAACUGAACCGUACACUACACACAUAAAUCCCAAUCCUCCACAACAGAGCGCACAUACCAUACAAUACUAGGAUAACCUGAGAACUCCACCUCCUUUUUCCUAACCACAAGCUAAACUUCCAAGACUAAAUCCUUCUACCCACAGAGUCUAAGAAAGUUGUCCGAACUCAAAAGCUCUGCCGCCCAAUACCUGUAAGGGCUCAUUACCUCGAACAUAAACAAGGAAUUGAUCAUAUCUUUACCAUACCGAUUCGGUCAACUAACAAGCUACUUUAUUUGUCUAGAUUUCCUUCUGAUUCAUUUUCAACUUGAUAUACUCUCUUGCUGUAGCACCUUAAUACCUCAAUUCGGGCUUACCACACGAGACUUGAACGUAAGACCACACUGUCUAAGACCAAUAUGCCACUAUAUACUCUCUCAAACGUUCCCAAAAAUACCACCUUCUAAAGCACCCUGCUUUGGAAAACUCCUGUGAAUUUAAGUACGCUACCUUUACUUCCCUGAUACUGAUACAUAAAAUCCCGUAAUUAACAUAAAAAUACCACAAGUCUUGACUUGUUUUAAUGGAAACACUGACUUGGUCACAUACUAAACCUUAAAACACCUAAGUUCUAUAUAUAGAAUCUUGAACACAUCAAAACCAUUCUCAGGAGUCAUCCACUCUUAUACCCACUGCAAAUUACUUGACUUAACGAAUUGAAUCACUCGUGCCUUAUCAGCACUCUGACACCUGAGGACAUGAUUCCGAUACAUCCAAACAACUUCCUUCUCUUUACACUAAGCAUUCCUUAUCAACAACUCAAGGCAUCCUAUUAUUUUCUCAUAUCUACGACGCACCAUAUAACCUUUGCCAAAAAUUUUCUUCACUCGGGCCAUCCUCGGCUCAAUUUCUGCAACCAGAAUUGAUUCACCUGCAUGCAUCAAAUCAGAAGUAACAUAGUACCUAACCGUACAAUCAACAAGUCAAUGGCAACCUCCCCAACUUAGCUCAAAGCCAUAUAUACCACAACACAUAUACUUUUUUGCUGUCGUAAUAUCAUGGUGAGAUUAAACUCACUCUUUCAUAAGCUUGUGGAAACAUGAAUCAUAAAAAAUUUUAACCCUUCUGCAAUUCAUGCAUUAAUUCACACAACGGUUAAGCCCACUCUUUAGGCAACAAAAUUUUUACUAAGUCCCAAAUUUUUUAAAUAUUUUGGCAGAGUUUCCUUUGUAGUGGGCCUAUCCACCUGCCAGAGAACUACCAAAAUCAUCCUAACAACACGUCCACAACUUGACAAAGCAUCACAAUGUAUAUCAUCAACCUUAAUCUCAAUAUUACAUGUAUUAUAUUAUAAAAAAUUGAUACAUGGAAAUGUGUUGCACCUAUUUGAAUCAUAACACAUGGAAAAUACCUUUCAAUCCUUAAUUAUUGGGUUAUUCAAUCGAGUAAGAAUAUAUUCUUUCUUUAAUAUUUUCGACCUUCAAGGUGGUCCUCUUGACUCAAGGACUUCGCCGUAAUACAUAUACAUAAGCGAUGUCAACUCCUAGACUUAUCGAACUGGUAUGACAAAUAGAUUCCCCUUAUAAGCCAAUUACCCACUUGCUUUACCUUUAGUUAAUAUCAUGUAUACCUUCCACUACCACACUCAUUACACAAUCACUAAAUCUUCCUGACUCUAAACUCAUAUCAUAACAUAAAAUUUACUUCACUCCAAAUCGGGGACAUAAAAAGAUUCUUCGCGCACCCAUAACUUGGGGCUACACAUCCUAUCACAAUAGAAAUCAUACACUCAGUAAUUCAUCUAUCAUCUAGUAGACCUUUCUCGACACCUCCAAGUCAUAUAGACACACCACACAACACCAACAUACUUAUCACGUAGCUAUCUAACCGCCAUUCCUAUAAUUAGGGACAAUACCGAACAUAUAAGUUUAUAAUACUAGCUCGUAAAAUCAGCACCUCGGUGUUCAAGCCUUAGUCGGAGAUUCGGCCUCAAGUCGUCCAGACCGGCUCAACAUCAACUCAUUGAAAUCAAAACUCGCCCCUCGAUUGGGGAAACACAAGCCAUCAAGGCACAUCUGCUACCGAGCGCUCACGCGCGCAUGCGAACACGUGGAAGGAAUUUCAAGAGUUACUCUUUAAAGCUGAAUCAAGGAUGCACGAUAAAAUUUCAAGAAAGCGAAGUAUUUCCUAAAGGUUUUGUAGUAUCCCGAGGAUAGAUACGGACAUCUACAUACCGAUUUAUGAGACUCUACUAACCGGCUCAUGACUCGUGAGGCCUAGUAUUCUAGGCUUUGUACCAACUUCUCAUGACCUGAACCCGGUCGUGAUGGCACCCAACCAUACAGCUAGCCAAGCCUAACCAAUUAUCUCUCAUGAACCCAACCUAUUAACUCAUUGUCGACAAUUUAAGGAAAUUUAUCUAUUUAAAAAUUAUAAGUUGAUGUUAUUAAUAAAAACAAUACGGAACAUAUCGAAAUAUCCAACAAAAACACUUCCAACAGAAUCUAGGGUCACGAGUCUAGAGCCUCUCAAACAAACUAGAUGACAAUAUCUGGACGGAAAUACACAAGUCUGGAAAUGUGUGUGUGAAUAUAUAUAUAUAUAUAUAUAUAUAUAUAUAUAUAUCUAUAUAUAUAUAUAUAUANNNNNNNNNNNNNNNNNNNNNNNNNNNNNNNNNNNNNNNNNNNNNNNNNNNNNNNNNNNNNNNNNNNNNNNNNNNNNNNNNNNNNNNNNNNNNNNNNNNNNNNNNNNNNNNNNNNNNNNNNNNNNNNNNNNNNNNNNNNNNNNNNNNNNNNNNNNNNNNNNNNNNNNNNNNNNNNNNNNNNNNNNNNNNNNNNNNNNNNNNNNNNNNNNNNNNNNNNNNNNNNNNAAAUAUAUAUAUAUAUAACUGAAAUAAGGAGGAGGAGUCAGGUCCUGCGAACGUCAAGCAGCUACCUUAACAACUCUGAUAAUCUCUGGAGACAGCCACUACUCAUCUAAGCCUCCGGUGCACCUGAAUCUGCACACGAGGUGCAUGGAGUAGGGGUGAGUACUACAAACUCAGUGAGUAAUAAGUAUAUAAAAUGUCUGAAGAUUAGAAUCCACGAAAUGCCACAAAAUGAAGCUAAGACUAACAGUCUGACACAUUAACUAUGGACUAACAACAAAACAAUAUCGGACAGAUAUAAAUACAUGAAUGCAACGAAAUGCACAUGACCCGCUGCGGCGUACAGCCCGAUCCAUUGGGUACCCGCACUCGCUGGGGGUGUGUACAGACUCCGGAGGGGCUCCUGCAUCCCAAGCGCAAUAUUCUCAUAUCAUUACUACGGCGUGCGUCCGAUCUAUACUCAGUCUAUAGUAUGCAUAUGAGUCACUUAACACAUUCGAUUAAAUUCUUAGUUUCCAAUUAUUAAGAAAAUAUAAUUUAGUUAUUUAACUUCAGGAAAAGUGACUUAGCAUUUCAUAACGGUGAUUAAACACAGGACUGAGAUCAAGGAUUAUACAGAUCAUGCUAUCACAAUGAUAUUCAUCCUAUGAGGAUAUAGAUCGGCACAAGGCCCAAACGUGGCAAUAAGCCCGGAUAUAUUCAAUACAGGGUGCGUAUCAGUCGCUAAUAUAGUAAAAUUCUUGUUCGGGAUGGACCAAGUCACAAUCCCUAGUCAUAAACCACUCCACACCUGCCAUGGGAUGCGAGUUACGCCAUAAUAUAGCGUCCCAAUGUGAUAAAACGGGGUUUCAAACCCUCAGGCCAUCAUCUAUAUAGACUACUCACCUCUAACCGACCAUAGACGAGUUCGCAAGGCCUUUCCCUUUUGUAUCGACCUCCUCGCGUGUCGAAUCUAGUCAAACCUACAACGAAUAGAUUAUUAUAUGCUAAGGAAACAUAAUCCAAUCGAAAUUACUCGAAAACACUAAAAAUCACGAAGUUGGCAAAAUCCGAGCCCCGGGCACACGUCUUGAACCUCAGAAAUUUUUACAUAUUUAGAUUCCUCAUCUUCAAAUUAGUUCAUAUGACCCGGGCACACGUCUUCACAAAUUCCAUCUCAAAUCACUAAUUAAAUGAUAUAUUCAAUGGUAUAUUCAUGUACUCUAACCAAAUCUAAGUUGGAAUCACUUACCCCGAUAAAUAACUUGAAAAACCUUCAAAACAUCGCCAAAAUCCGAGCUCUGUAGGUCAAAAUAUCAAAUAAAACCCAAAACCUCGUAUUUAUAGAGUACCCCCUUGGAUUCCCGCAGCGUUGACCGCACAAAAAUGGCCAUGGUCCGCACUCAGGAGUGCUGACAUCACAAAAAUGGUCGCGGCUGUUUGACUGCAGUGGCAGGCUUCACUAUUUUGGCCAUAACUUUCUCUAAGAUGUCCAAAUGCCUAUUAUAAUAUGUUUAUGAAAACUAAAUUCAAAGCUCGUCAACGUUCGUUUUUGAAUCAACCCCAAAUUUCUUGUAGAUAAAAGACACGAGCCUUCGAAGUAGGACCCGUGACCUGCAGAUUCUUCCCCUGUGCGGCCACGCGCCCAGCGCGAGAAGGAGCGCGAUCCGUGCCGCCACUGCUGCCCUCUCCAUUUUUCUAAGUUCUGGGUUGUCCGUACUCGCUCAAAACAUACCCGAAAAACCCUCGAGGCCCCCGAGACCUCACCCAAAAGCACCUACAAGUCUGAGAACACAUCACCGACUUAGUUGAGGUCUCAAAUCACAUCACAUAUCAUCAAAAUCACCAAUUAUGCCUGGAUACAAGCCUAAGAACUUAAUAAAUUCAAAUGCCUAUUAUUAUAUAUUUCUGAAAACUAGAUUCAAAGAUCUACAAUUUUCCUUUUUGACUCAACCCCAUCUACUUUGUAGGGCAACGGAUAUGAGCUUCUGAAGUAGGAUCAGUGACUUGCAGAUCUUCACCUACGCGAACCACGCCGCCUGACCGCGGUCCGUGCCCAAAUCACUGCCCCUUCCAUUUUCUAAGUUUCGGGAUGUUUGUACUCGCUCAAACCUCACCCAAAACAUACCCGAGGCCCCUUGGACCUCACACAAAAGCACUUACGAGUCUGAAAACACAUUAAGGACUUAGUCGAGGCCUCAAAUCACAUCACAUAUCAUCAAAAUCACCAAUUAUGCCUGGAUUCAAGCCUAAGAACUUAUUAAAUUCCCAAAUUUCACAUCUGAUGCCGAAACACGUCAAAACUAGUCUUAAUGACCUCAAACUUUGCAGAUAAGACCAAAAUGACAUAUCGAAGCUACAACAACUCUCGGAAUUCAAUUCCGACCCUCGGAUCAAAAUCUCACCUAUCAACCGGAAUUCGCUAAAAUUCAAACUUAGCCAAUUCAAGUCAGAACUCCAUUCCAACCCCCGGAUCAAAAUCUCAGCUAUCAACCGGAAUUCGCCAAAAUUCAAACUUAGCCAAUUCAAGCCUAAUUCUACACCGGACCUCCAAAUUCAAUUCUGAUUGCACUCUUAAGUUACAAAUCAUCACCCCGAAACUAGUCGAAUCAUCGAAAAUCCAUUCCGAGCCCUCUAACUUACAAGUCAACAUCAGGUUGACUUUUCCAAACAAAUUCUUCCUUAAAGAGACUAAUUGUCACAUUACCUAUCAAAAUUGAUCUCAAUUGAUUUAAAUUCACCAAGUACACAUACUGAAACAUGAUUAAGCAUAAAACGGGGAAAACGGUGAAAGAAAAGUAAACUGGGGCAGAAAUUUUUCUUGGUUCAUCUAUUUUUGUGAAAUCAGGAGCCCGCCUCGAUAACAGAGGAAUACAUUUCAAGUUCAGAAGUUAGGAGCCCACCUGGAGAACAGAGGCAUGCAGUUAAAAUUUCAGCAGUUAGGGGUCCGCCUGAAGAACAGAGACGUACAGUUUCAAUUUUAGAAAUCAGGAGUCCGCCUAGAGAACAGAGACAUACAAUUCAAGUUUCAGCAAUCAGGAGCCCGCCUGAAAAACAGAGGUGAUACAAUUCAAAUUUUAAUUCUCAAUCAAUUUCUUUGUCUAUUUUGGAGUCAGGAGUCCGCCUGGAGAACAGAGACACGCAUUUCGAAUUUCAGAAGUCAGGAGCCCACAUGGAGAACAGAGGCAUGUUGUUCAAAUUUAAGCAAUCAGGAGCCCUACUGAAGAACAGGGGUGAUACAAUUCAAAUUUUAGUUUUCAAUCAAUUUCUUUGUCUAAUUUGAAGUCAGGAGUCCGCCUGGAGAACAGAGACAUUCAAUUUCAAAAUUCAAGAGUCCGCCUCGAGAACAGAGACAUACAAUUAAAAUUUUAAGCAAUCAGGAGCCCGCCUGAAGAAUAGAGGUGAUACAAUUCAAAUUUUAGUUUUAAAUCAAUUUCUUUGUCUAAUUUGAAGUCAGGAGUCUGCCUGGAGAACUGAGACAUUCCAUUUCGAAAUUCAGAAGUCAUGAGUCCGCCUGGAGAACAGAGAUAUACAAUUCAAAUUUUAAGCAAUCAGGAUCCCGCCUGAAGAAUAGAAAUGAUACAGUUCGAAUUUUAGUUUUCAAUCAAUUUAUUGUCUAAUUUGAAAUCAAGAGUCUGCCUGGAGAACAGAGAUAUUCAAUUUCAAAAUUCAGAAGUCAGAAGCUUGCCUGGAGAAUGGAGGUGUUAAAUGUUUAAGUAGUUAGAGUCAAGAGCCCGCCUGCAGAAUGGAGGUGUUAAAUUUUAAGUUUUAGUUACAGUCAGGAGCCCGCCUGAAGAACAUAGGUAUACAAUUCAAGUUUCGAAAAUAAAGAGCCCGCCUGUACAACAGAGGUAUUUCACGUCAUGUUUUAAUUAAAUUCCUAUUAAUAUCCAGUAGCACGUACCCAGUUUCCAAACUGGGGUAGAAAGUUUUCUUGAUUUUGUCUGUUUCCGCCUGGAUAACAGAGAAAUACAUUCAAGUUCAAGUUCAGCAGUUAGGAGCCCACUUGGAUAAUAGAGAAAUACUUUCAAAGUUCAAGUUUCAGCAAUUGGGAGCCCACCCAGAUAACAGAGGAAUACAUUCAAGUUCAAGAUUAUUUAAGUUUAGCAAUUUGGAGAGAAAGAACAACUUCUCAGUUCACAGUUUGAAGUAACAACAAUGGGUCUCACCAAGAGAACACAAAACAACAAGGCAACCGGAAGUGCAAGAGCAUGUCGAAGAUUUUAGAUAGGACUUUUGAAAUACAUAGUUCAUAGUUUAGUCUAGCUUCUUUUAUUUUUGACAUGGUGUAGUAAGGAAGGUCAGCGAGCAAUAACAGCAACAACAAUUGUAGUGAAAUCACAGCUCUUCCCAGCUACCAGACACUCCCGAACUACACUGACUUGAUUCCUAUUUAGCCCAGGAUGUGCAGGCAACCUCUAAAGCAGGGUGCGGUCAAACUUUUCAAAAUUCUUCACAACGAAAUAUUUGAACGGGUAAAAUCGCUCGUAUUUGCUCACUUAUCUUUACAAGAAAACUCUUCGUGUUUCCGGGCAAAGAGGGGUAGUUGUGAGCACGUGACUAUUGCCCUAUAUAUGAAAUAUUCCCAAAAACUUCAAACAAAAUGAUUUUUUUCUUUAUUUUUAUAAAUUUUGUGAAUUUUGGUGUCAUUUCUUUAUAAUUGUUGUGAAUUUUGGUGCAUGAUAAUUCUUAUGAAAUACAAAAAUACAUAUUUGCAUCUAGGUUGUAACUUCAUGUGUUAGUAUUAAUUAGGGAUUAAUUUGUUUUAGAAGAGGAUAUGAAGAAAAUGACAAAAAUAGCCACUUUAGCAUACUGUUUUAAUUGUGAAAUUGUCCCAAAAUAGUUAUCAAAUAAUUUUAGGAAUCAAUUAGUUUAAUUUUGAAAUAUAUUAAGACUUUAUUUUAAUUUUGAAAUUUUAUAAAGUUAAAAAAUACUAAAAAAUAUACAAAUUGAAAUACAAAAAAUAAAUAAAAAAAUAAAAGAAAAAAUGAGAAUAAAAGUAAAGGGCUGCCCACGAUUGGGGGCCAUGCCCAUUUAAAUUACCCCUAGCCCAAACCUUGCACCCAGUCCAGGCCCAAUUUUACCCAAACCCAGCCAGCCCCCCAGCUAGUCAAAACGACGACGUUUGGCAUCAUUAAAUCCCAACCAUCAAUUACCUUGAUCUAAUGGCCCACAACCCACCCCUAAAUCCCUUAAAAGUGUCCAAAUCCUAGUCAAACCCUAGAGACCAGAUAGCUUCUUCCUCGUACAGAAUCUCUGUACUCGCCGGAACCACCACCAGCGGCGAACGCCGCCAUGGCCAAUCCGUCCCAAAAUUACAUCCCAGACUCUCUUUCUUUUCCUCAUUCCAAAUAUCAUAUCGGUUUCCCUCGAAUCCUCCCAUAUCUCGUCGAAUCUCCACCAGAAGAUUUUCUGGCCAAGUCACAAGUCAUGCCAAUUGGUCCCAAAUUAACACCAUGGAACCGCCUUGGUCUCCUCUACACAACCUUUAGGACCCCGAGUCUCGAAUAUAGCCGGAAUGGCUCGAAUUUAGAUUUGAUUUUCGGCGAGGCUUGAUUUCAUCGAAUUUGCAUAAACUGGUGCCUUGGGUUUCUCCUCAUCUUUUUCUCAUGGUUUUGGUAUUAUAGAAGAUCAAUGGAAUGCGAGGUUAGAUAGUCAAGUGGCCAUCGAAGUCGUGAGUCCUUUCUCUUUUUUUGUUUUCUGUUUUAUGAGUUUUUCUGUUGUUUAAGACUUUGCAUGAGUCCCUUUUAAUGGUUAUAGUUGUUUUAGCAUUAAUUGGAAUUUUCUCUAGAUUAAUCUGAUUUUUAUUGAUUGAUGUUUUCUUCUGAUAGUUAGUCCAAUUAGUUCAGUAAUUUAGUGAUUAGUUUGAUCGAAAUUAGUUCAAGAGGAAAAAUAGUGGCAACGCUUUUGUUUGAUAAUAAGAGUGUUAUGGUAAGUUGUUAUUUUAGCCACCUCUAAUUAGCUUGGGGCAAUGAGAGGUUUGGGUUAGUUAGAGUUGGUAAAUAACGGUUGAGAUGGCAUGUGAGGGGUGAGAGAGGAUCAGAUUUUUAGGGGAGGGUCAAGAGAGUAAAAACUUUAAGUGAAGUCAGGGGUAAAAGGGAUAAUUCACUUAAGGAAUCUUAUGUGUAACACAAAGAGAAGCUUCUAGGGGGGGNNNNNNNNNNNNNNNNNNNNNNNNNNNNNNNNNNNNNNNNNNNNNNNNNNNNNNNNNNNNNNNNNNNNNNNNNNNNNNNNNNNNNNNNNNNNNNNNNNNNNNNNNNNNNNNNNNNNNNNNNNNNNNNNNNNNNNNNNNNNNNNNNNNNNNNNNNNNNNNNNNNNNNNNNNNNNNNNNNNNNNNNNNNNNNNNNNNNNNNNNNNNNNNNNNNNNNNNNNNNNNNNNNNNNNNNNNNNNNNNNNNNNNNNNNNNNNNNNNNNNNNNNNNNNNNNNNNNNNNNNNNNNNNNNNNNNNNNNNNNNNNNNNNNNNNNNNNNNNNNNNNNNNNNNNNNNNNNNNNNNNNNNNNNNGGUGGAUUGGAAUUUUCAGGUUUUGGGUAGUAAAACUUGGGUAGAAAGUCAAGAAUUGGGUUACCUAAGCAAAAAUGAAAAUUCAAAAGGGGUAAGGUGUAAAAAUUAAAGCCUAAAGCUGCCCUACUUGCCUUGCCUAUAAAGACAUGUUUUCUUGCCUUGAAAGGCAGCUGGAGAUUCUGAAAUCUAAGAAUUAGAAAUCUGAAAUUCCAUACCACUAAAGGGCUAGAUUUUCACUGUUCUAUUGAGUCUUAAAGAUUGGUUUUUCGGAUUUUUUCUCUUGAAUGGAAACACUUUUGGUGCUGAUGCUAGAAAUGACCUAGAAUCAAGUUUAUUUGGGUUUUCUUUUGGGAUUCACUUGCUAGAUUGGACUUGGUUUUUCUGGGGUUUAUUUGCAUCUCUCUUUCGGCUCAAACUGGUCUAAAAGUGUUGUUGAGCUCCCAUAAGCUCUCCAUCUUUGGUUUAAUUUUGGUUGGAAAGGCUUUGAAGUCUAUUCGAAUUGGCUGCUUCAGUUACUUAAAUUUAAUUGUGAAGAAAUUUGAUUUUUGAAACUUGUUGCAUUAGUUUUAAACUACUCAUGUGGCCGUUUCUCUAUUUUAUUGCUGGGCAUUUGCUGUGUCUAUUGCAGCUGAUCUCUCUUCUUCAUUGCAUUUCCAUAUCAGGUACACAUUCUCAACCAGUGUUGAUGUAACUUACCUACUGAACAUGAAAUACAAUUGAAUUUUGCGAUGUCCUAGAAAUGCAAUUCGAAAUUUGAUUAAGUUUAGAUGUCUCCUCAUCUAUUUGAUUGAAUAUUCCUAGUUGUAUUAACUGAACUGUAUAUUUGAGACAUCCAUCUGGGCUGUAUAAUUGUAUAAUUAUGAUUAGGAUAUAGACAUAGUAGGUUGUAAAGUCAUCAAAAUUGUGUUCGACUCUUGAGAUUUGUUUUAAGCUGAACGAACAUUGUUUUAGGUUGAAUUGAUCCAUCAUGAUGGUUGACUUUUAAAUGUUGUUAGUAUAAUAUAGUAUGGAUUACAAAAUAUGACUGAGACCUUGAAACGGUAGUAUAUUUUAUAAAAACAAGUUCUUUGAUGCAAAUGUUAAUCUCAACCGGUAUUUGUAAAUGACUAGCUUCUAAGUUUUAGUACAUUAUGAAAUAGCAUGAGUCAGUGUUAUAACAACUGGCUUGGCUUGUCA